UACGAAGGGGGCAAGCGUUGUUCGGAAUUACUGGGCGUAAAGGGCGCGUAGGCGGCUUAUCAAGUCAGGCGUGAAAUUCCCGGGCUCAACCUGGGGGCUGCGCUUGAUACUGAUUGGCUUGAAUGCGGGAGAGGAUAGUGGAAUUCCCAGUGUAGAGGUGAAAUUCGUAGAUAUUGGGAAGAACACCGGUGGCGAAGGCGACCAUCUGGACGGAUACUGACGCUGAGACGCGAAAGCGUGGGGAGCAAACAGG
rnacentral:rRNA from 1 species